AUCUGAACAGGUGCUUGCUGAUCUGUAGUUCACUUCCUCUUGGCUGCUUUCAAGAUUGAUUUUCUCCUUGAUUGCAAAACCCUGAAAUCUGUAUGAUGAUCGCUGACUAUUAUAGAAAAGACUUCUUGAAAAAAGCUAAAACAAAACAACAACAAAAACCAGCUAGAGUCAAGAAUGCUGUAGUAUAUGAUUGUGAUGGAAUAUUAUUAUACUAAGAAAUGAUAAGCAGGAUGAUUUCAGAAAAACCUGGAAAGAUUUGCAGGAACUGAUGCAAAGUGAAGUGACAGAAUCAGGAGAAUGUUUUACACAAUAA